UUUUUUAAUUGAAAACUGGAAUGAAGGGUUGAGACUAAAAAGAAGGUUUUAUUUUAUAAAUUUGAAUUUUAAUUAAAAAUAAAAAUGUUUUUAUUAAUUCUUGGGACGAGAAGACCCUAGAAGCUUAAAAAUUUAAUAUUUUUAGAUUGGGGUAAUCAUUAAAGAAGAAAAUAUUUUUAAUAAAUUUAGUAUAAAAGGAAAGAAAGUUACUCUAGGGAUAACAGCGUUAUUUAAUUAGCAAGUUCUUAUUAAUAAUUAAGUUUGCGACCUCGAUGUUGAAUUAAUUUUUAUUUUUGGUGAAGAAGUUAAAAAAGGAAAGUCUGUUCGACUUUUAAUAUAUUACGUGAUCUGAGUUCAGACCGGA
rnacentral:rRNA from 1 species